CUAGAAUUAUAGGAAUCGAACCUAAACUCGAGAAUUCAAAAAUCUCAGUGCUACCAAUUACACCACGUUCUA
ensembl:Mt_tRNA